rnacentral:rRNA from 1 species
AAGAGACAGCAGUAGCCGCGGUAAUACGGAGGAUCCAAGCGUUAUCCGGAAUCAUUGGGUUUAAAGGGUCCGUAGGCGGUCUUGUAAGUCAGUGGUGAAAGCCCAUCGCUCAACGGUGGAACGGCCAUUGAUACUGCAGGACUUGAAUUAUUGGGAAGUAACUAGAAUAUGUAGUGUAGCGGUGAAAUGCUUAGAGAUUACAUGGAAUACCAAUUGCGAAGGCAGGUUACUACCAAUUGAUUGACGCUGAUGGACGAAAGCGUGGGUAGCGAACAGGAUUAGAUACCCCGGUAGUCCCUGUCUCUUAUAC